UGUGAAGAAGGCCUUCGGGUUGUAAAGCACUUUUGUCCGGAAAGAAAACUUCGUCCCUAAUAUGGAUGGAGGAUGACGGUACCGGAAGAAUAAGCACCGGCUAACUACGUGCCAGCAGCCGCGGUAAUACGUAGGGUGCGAGCGUUAAUCGGAAUUACUGGGCGUAAAGCGUGCGCAGGCGGUCUGUUAAGACCGAUGUGAAAUCCCCGGGCUUAACCUGGGAACUGCAUUGGUGACUGGCAGGCUUUGAGUGUGGCAGAGGGGGGUAGAAUUCCACGUGUAGCAGUGAAAUGCGUAGAGAUGUGGAGGAAUACCGAUGGCGAAGGCAGCCCCCUGGGCCAAUACUGACGCUCAUGCACGAAAGCGUGGGGAGCAAACAGGAUUAGAUACCCUGGUAGUCCACGCCCUAAACGAUGUCAACUAGUUGUUGGGGAUUCAUUUCCUUAGUAACGUAGCUAACGCGUGAAGUUGACCGCCUGGGGAGUACGGUCGCAAGAUUAAAACUCAAAGGAAUUGACGGGGACCCGCACAAGCGGUGGAUGAUGUGGAUUAAUUCGAUGCAACGCGAAAAACCUUACCUACCCUUGACAUGGUCGGAACCC
rnacentral:rRNA from 5 species